rnacentral:rRNA from 1 species
UACAGGGGGUGCAAACGUUGCUCGGAAUUACUGGGCGUAAAGGGCGCGUAGGCGGCCUUCUAAGUCGAACGUGAAAUCCCCGGGCUCAACCCGGGAACUGCGUCCGAUACUGGAAGGCUUGAAUCCGGGAGAGGGAUGCGGAAUUCCAGGUGUAGCGGUGAAAUGCGUAGAUAUCUGGAGGAACACCGGUGGCGAAGGCGGCAUCCUGGACCGGCAUUGACGCUGAGGCGCGAAAGCCAGGGGAGCAAACGGG